CUUGUUUUUAGCUUAAAAUUUCCAACUUCUUUUGCAUUCGAACUACUUACUAGGGACCCAAGAAAGCAAUCAAGUGGAAGACGUUGGAGUGGGAUUCCUGAUAUCUUGAGUUCCUCCUCAGAGCCAAGUGAGCCUCCCUUGCAGCUAGGGUGCAGGCAUGUGACCUUGGUUCCUCCAAUCAUCCUUGCCCACCUGAGACGCCAACUGAGUGAUGAGCUAUGCAUGGGAAUAGCUGUGUGCAGGGCAUCCUUUUUCUGCCAGCCUGGUGGCAGUUAAAGCAGUGUGGCCUGGAGUCAGUGACAGUGGUGGCAGGUCCUCCAUGAGUCUGAUUCUGCAAUAUGCUUCUUGGAGAGGCUCUUGAAAGCUGCAUCCAGAUCCUGUUUCUCUAACAUCCCUAAAUAAAUUUUCCUUCUACGGAAACUAGCCAGAGUGGACUCUGUUGUCUACAUGCAAGAAUACUAAUAAACACGCAAAUAAACAAAUACAUAUGGAGCUGAACCUUGAACAACACACGUUUGAAUGGUGUGGUCCACUCUCAUGCAGAUUUUCUUCUGCCUCUGCCACCCCUGAGACAGCAGGACCAAGCCCUCCUCUUCCUCCUCUUCAGCCUACUCAGCAUGAAGACGACAAGGUUGUGAAGACCUUUAUGAUGAUCCAUGAUCUGUUUCCACAAACCUGCUCUCACCUGGCCUCCCUGAGACUCACGGGAUUCCGAAGCCUGCAGCCCACUCAGCCAAGGGCCAGUCCUGCAGAACCUCCCAGCUUCCAGAUCUGGACUCGCUUCAGCCACAGACUCUUGGAAGAAGGGAGAGAGAACUAACUACCAAGUGUUAAGUGCCUUCCGGUCUAGGUGCUCCUCCAUCCUCAGCCUCUCUGACACCUCAUAACUGGCAGCCCUGGGAUUUGAAUCUGCAUAUGUCUGGCUGCAAAGUCAAUGCUCUUUCCUCGAGAGGACUGUGAUGCCCCCAUUACUCUUUUUUGGGGGAGUGGGGGGACACGGUUUUGCUACGUCACCCAGGCUGGCGUGCAAUGGUGCGAUCUUAGCUCACUGCAACCUCUGCCUCCCGGGUUCAAGCAAUUCUCCUGCCUCAGCCUGCCGAGUAGCUGGCAUUACAGGUGUGCGCCACUAUGCUCGGCUAAUUUUUGUAUUUUUAGUAGAGACAGGGUUUCACCAUUUUGGCCAGGCUGGUCUCGAACUCCUGACCUCAUGAUCCACCCACCUCGACCUCCCAAAGUGCUGGGAUUACAGGCAUGAGCCACCUCGCCCGGUCCCCAUUGCUCUUAACACGGAGUCUGCCCCUUGCUUCUGCCUCUCCAUCACCCUCUCCUCCCUGGCUCCUCCUUAUUUCACUAUAAACUCAGUUCUUCCGUUUCUAGACAUGCCCUCCACCUGACCUUGCAAUCUUCUCCUUCCUUUGGCCACCAGGCUUCUUACCCGGCUCUCUUCUGUUGCAUCCCUGGUGUCCCGCCCCUUAUCCCCCUGAGGUUUCAUCAACCUCCCUCCCCUGCCAACCACUCCCCCAGAGUCACCAGUAACCCGGGGCCUCAUGAUUAGGUCCUUUCUUAGUCUUUAUAUUUCCAGGCCCCCCUACAACAACUGACACUCUCAACGGGUAAACUAGCUCUUGAAAAAAAUAAGAUUUCUUUCUACUUCUGACUUUAAAAGAAACACACACAUACACACAAAUGCAUAUAUAUGAAAGAUAGAGAACGAAAGAGAGAGAAAACCACCAAGAGCCAGAAAACUGGUCAUUAAGAAGCCUGAUGGGCUGGGCAUGGUGGCUCAUGCCUGUAAUCCCAGCACUUUGGGAGGCUGAGGCAGGAGGAUCACUUGAGCCCAGAAGUUCGGGACCAGGCUAGGCAACAUGGUGAGACCUCAUCUCUACAAAUAAUUUUUAAAGAUUAGCCAGGCCUGGUGGUGCACGCCACCAGUAGUAAACCUGUAGUCCCAGAUACUUGGGAGGCUGAGGUGGGAGAAUUGCUUGAGUCCAGAAGGUCGAGGCUACAGUGAGCUGUGAUCGUGCCACUGCACUCCAGCCUGGGCAACAGAGCAAGAAGACCCCA
rnacentral:lncRNA from 1 species